rnacentral:rRNA from 1 species
GACGAACGCUGGCGGCAUGCUUAACACAUGCAAGUCGAACGGAAAGGCCCUGCUUUUGUGCUGUGCUCGAGUGGCGAACGGGUGAGUAACACGUGUAUAACCUGCCCUUCACUUUGGGAUAACUUCAGGAAACUGGGGCUAAUACCGUAUAGGAUCUGCUGCUGCAUGGUGAGGGUUGGAUAGUUUAGGCGGUUGUGGUUGGACGCGCGGCUUAUCAAUUAGUUGGUGGGGGAGUGGCUUACCCAGGCUUUGACCGGUAGCCGGCAUGGGAGGGGGAACGGCGACAAGGGGACUGAGAUAGGGCCCAGAGUCGAACGGGAGGCAGUAGUGGGGAGUAUUGCACAAUGGGCCGAAGCCUGAGGAAGCAACGCCCGGUGCGGGAAGACGUCUUGCGGGUAGAAAAACGCAGUAGCUUAUUACGAAGCGUGAGUGACGGUAAUGAGAGAAGAAGCACCGGCUAACUACGUG